CAGAGCAGACCUGUCCAGGCACCCUCUGGACCACCGCCAGCAAACCAAGGGCCUGGAGGAACAGAGUUGAACAUGCCAGCAGGAUUCUGUACCCUCUCUAAUGCUAACCCGUUUCUAAAAGUUGGGACCAGUAAAUUUCACAGAAAUUUAAGAACUUCUGAAAACUGUAGUCUCAGGAGGAGAGCUGUUAAACUGUUCUUGAUCCAGGUUCCUGUCCUGAGUCCCUGCUCUUACUUCCAUGGAUGAUGGAUCAUAAGUUGUAAGCUGAAAUAAAACCUUUGCUCCUUAA